rnacentral:lncRNA from 1 species
CAGAUUCUGUGUCUGGUGAGGCCCACUCUCCGGUUCAUAGAUGGCUGUCUUUUCACUGUGUCCUCAGAUGAUGGAAGGGGUGAGGGAUCUCUCUGGGGCUUCUUUUAUAAGAGGACUAAUCCUAUUUGUGAGGGGUCCACCCUCAUGACCUAAUCACGUCUCAAAGGCCCCAUCUCCAAAUACCAUCACAUUGCAGAUUAGGUUUCAACCUAUGAAAUUGGGGGGAACACAUUCAGUCUAUAGCAACUACUGUUACAUUGUUUUCUAACAUUAGACCAUUAAUCCAUUUGUUUAUCCAACUAAUUUUAUUUUUUGUAUUUUGAUUAGAUGCCAGGCUCUGUGCUGGGAAGAAGAAAUUCAGAGAUGAGCCUUGGGACUUGGACUGAAAUUUAUAUCACUGGCUUUCCUGCAUGUCCAGCUUGCAGAUGGCAGAUCAUGAGACUUCUGAGCCUCCAGAAUCGCAAAUUAAAAAAAGUUAGGAGGAGAAGCACUUCUGGAGCGACAACAUGAGAAGCUCUGCUGACCCUCUUCCCAGUGAGACAACCAUGACUGUGAAAAUCAUUAAAAAAAAUGUUUAAGUCUCUGGAAAUUGUUCUACGGGCCCACAGCAAAUGGAGAAACGCUUAUUGAGGAAAAUCUAUUAAAUCUCAGCUAGAAGAUUGAGAGUUUGUGUCAUUUGAGUCAUGACCUAUUCCUCCCCAACCCC